rnacentral:rRNA from 1 species
UCCCAGUUCGGAUUGUAGUCUGCAACCCGACUACAUGAAGCUGGAAUCGCUAGUAAUCGCGGGUCAGCAUACUGCGGUGAAUACGUUCCCGGGUCUUGUACACACCGCCCGUCACACCAUGGGGAGCCGGAAAUGCCCGAAGCCAGUGACCCAACCUUAGGGAGGGAGCUGUCGAAGGUGGAGCCGGUAACUGGGGUGAAGUCGUAACAAGGUACC